rnacentral:rRNA from 1 species
GACGAACGCUGGCGGCGUGCUUAACACAUGCAAGUCGAGCGGUAAGGCCCUUUCGGGGGUACGACGAGCGGCGAACGGGUGAGUAACACGUGGGUGACCUGCCCUCAGCUCUGGGAUAAGCCUGGGAAACUGGGUCUAAUACUGGAUAUGACUCCACGGUGCAUGUCGUGGGGUGGAAAGCCUUGUGCGGCUGAGGAUGGGCCCGCGGCCUAUCAGCUUGUUGGUGGGGUGAGGCCUACCAAGGCGACGACGGGUAGCCGGCCUGAGAGGGCGACCGGCCACACUGGGACUGAGACACGGCCCAGACUCCUACGGGAGGCAGCAGUGGGGAAUAUUGCGCAAUGGGCGAAAGCCUGACGCAGCGACGCCGCGUGCGGGAUGACGGCCUC